rnacentral:rRNA from 1 species
GUGUCGAAGAGAAGUCAUUAAGCUCACCACCUGGGAAGUAUGCUCGCAAGGCUGAAACUUAAAGGAAUUGGCGGGGGAGCACCACAAGGGGUGCGGCGUGCGGUUUAAUCUAAUUCAACACAGAGCAUCUCACCAGCGGCGACGGCAGGAUGAAGGUCAGUCUGAAGGGCUUACCUGACGAGCCGAGAGGUAGUGCAUGGCCGCCGUCAGCUCGUGCUGUAAGGUGUCCUGUUAAGUCAGGCAACGAGCAAGACCUGUAUCUACAAUUGCUAACUACUCUUUUAAGAGGAUUGAGCACUUUGUAGGGACUGCCUUCGAAAGAAGGAGGAAGGUGCAGGCAACGGUAGGUCUGUAUGCUCCGAAUCUGCUGGGCUACACGCGCGCAACAAUGGUAAGGACAAAAGGAUGCGACUCCGAAAGGAGGAGCUAACCCCAAAAACCUUAUCUUAGUCUAGAUUGAGGAUUGUAACUCAUCCUCAUGACACCGGAAUCCUUAGUAAUCAGAUGU